AGCCAUAUUGGGUUUAAUUAGGGACAUUUGAAAAGCCCAAGAAUUUCAACCCAAUAAGGCAUCCAUAGAGGCCCAAGGAAUAAUAUUUAACUUGUUUUUGUGUUAAUAACAAUUAGGGUUACAUGUAGCCACCAUAUACAACUUAAUAGGGUAAUUAAUACCAAGUAAUGGCUAUUACUGUGGGUAGUGGUUACUAAGGCCAUUUAAGAGUAAAAGUAAUCCUAUGUGUGU
rnacentral:lncRNA from 1 species